AGGGGGCUCAAGGUCUGGACAUGGGCACUACUUUCUAACUCCAAAUGUCUUGAAGAUUUCUGUGGGGUGCCAUGGGUCAAUUGGCACUCAUACAUGCUUGGGCUUCUGGCAAUGUACCUGACAAUUCAACUUGUUAGGAGAGUCAGGAGACUCAUGGGGGCAGGGAUAUAGUGUCUAUGGGACCAGCACUGGUGACCUGAGGAUUUGUGUGGUGGUGAUGAUGGCAGUGCUGGGGUGCCACAGCCAAGCUAGUGAUGGAGGCCCCCAGGAAUUGUUAGACAUGCCUGCGCAUGCCUUGACAGGCUCUUCUUAUAGGUUCCAGAGAUGGAAACCCCAUCUGGAAGGUAAGAAAAUCAGAGAACACAAACCUAGGUCUCCAGGGAGGCCACUCUGCUUCCUAACCUGCUUAUAUUUGGAUUUUUCUAGAAAACAUGAGUUCUUUACUGUUGCAUUUAUGUGCACCACAGCAAAGGCCAGGUAUUUCCCAGGGGUUGAGCAUCCCUUUAUGAGAGCACAGAUUCUGAUUCCACAGGGAUGAUGCCGCUAGGAUACUUUACUGAUGCUCAGGGAAGCUGGUCACUUUCUAAGAUCAGCAGGAGAAUCCCUACAUGGCAAGAGGGAGCUGGAACCUGACCUGGCUUUAGCAGGAAGCAAAGGGGAAGUGAUCUAAGUCACUGAGUUGCCGGGGAGAUUGGCUCACUGGUACAGCUGCUUCCGGUGGCUUCUAGGAGACUACUGCAGAGGGUGAUCCUGCUGCUCAGCUCACAGGGGCCUGUGUGUGUGGCAGCUCCGUCUGGACCCUGUUGGCCCUUCUCAUGGGAGGCUUGAGGACACAGCCAGCAUGGGAGGACUCUAGGGCCCUCUCAGGGGAGAAGACCAAGU
rnacentral:lncRNA from 1 species